UAACACUUUGCGCUCUCCCCUGCAGGCACCGAGAGGCCUCUCCGGCUCCUCCAAGUAAAACCUGGAGCCUGAAGAUCUGUCGGUGGAAGAGGCACCAAACAGAACCCCUAAGGGCCCAACAAUCAGACCAUGUGCCAAGUUAUAUGAAAUUAUCUCCCUUGUUUCUCUUAAAAGAGACAAAGGAAAUGAACGACAAGCUCAAAGCAAGGCCAUGUGUAGCCCCUAUUCCUUAUCCGGCCCCUUCUAGACACUAUUUACAGCAGCACUGGAAAGCUGGAGCCUUUUAGAGCUCACUGAAGGAGGCAGCGGGAACCUUUCCAACAACUCUGUGGCCUUGCUGAAAAUCGCUGAGGUUUGGUCUGUGCUCCUUUAAGGCUGCAGCGAGAGGGUUUUCUACUUGGCCUUGGAAAAGCUGAAAAUAGACUGGAGUAUUUUGUGAUUCAGCAGUUUUAGAAGAACGAAGGCAAUCCAGUGAGGUAAAUCACUGGCAGAAAGGACACAAGGAGAGAAAUGAAUGACUGUGCUACUAAAAGGUUAGGAGGAAUGUAGUGUGAAAUAACCAAAGAAUGUAAACAAGAGAAAGGAGGAUGGACAAACACAUAUUGACAAAUACAAGCUAAGAGAUGGACUCUGUGCAUGCACACACAGUAAAGUGUUCCCCAGCAGUCUGACUCUAUUCUGAAACAGACACUUGAUGAUAGCGCUUUGCCUUUAUAUAGCAAUGUUCAUGCAAGCAUCUCAAGGCAUCCCCCAGUCACAUGCAGCACAGCAUGGCGAUCAGAAACUACCAGUAUAAUCAUUUUACACGAGAGUAAAUUGGUUCAUAUGGUCUGGAUGAUUUAUCCGCAUUCAUCACAAAAAAAAAAUAAUCAGUGGAGAAGCUGGGAGUAAAACACGAAAACCACUAGUCAUGAGGCUCCAAUUAUCACCUCUGCUCUGUGGUCUGCACCCCUGCAGACUGUCAGCACACUGCGCGGUGGGAAUUGCCCCCUGCACACCCGGGAGGACGUGCUGGCUUCAGCAGGAGCCGACAUCUGCCUGAACGCUGCCUGGAGCACACGGGCACCGGCGCAUCUGUCAGCAGGGACUGAAGCACCAGCUGCUCACCUCCCUACCUGUAAUCUGUGGCCUGUUCAGCCAGCCUCUGAUAUCUGAGCGUUUCACCUCCUGCUUACGUGAUAAGGCUAUUCCACAUGACUGGCAGUUCAGCUGUGCUGGCGCAGGGACAAACGGGGCUCCCAAGCCAUUCUUGUAGGAAGAACUGAGACUGUAGGUACCUUAAAACCUAGCUGGACCCAAUCUGCCUUCAUGGCACACUGGAACAGGAGAAAUAGGAACCGUUGCCAUGUCCCAUCCACAGAGUAUUUCCAGAGCUCCCCUGUGACCAGAUUUGAGGCCUUGGGGAUCGCAGAUAGAUGAAGUGUAAGGUCACAGCUCAACACAUCCUGCAGACCUUCAAGCAGAGGCCUAAGAAAACUCCUCAAUAGGCUGAGAGUACAGUAAAUCUCAGGCACGCUUUGGAGGAGCUAAACUGUGGCAAAGAAAACGUUAAAAACCAUUUCUAUAUGAUGAGGCACUUAAGUAGUUCGGCCAAUUACACUGCUUGAUUGGCUGACAUUCCUAACACUAUCAUUUUGCACACAGGGUGCCUCAUGCAUGAAUGAAGAUGGUGUUUGAAGGCUUUGCUUUUUGUCAAAGCUUUUAUGUUCCUUUCUGGAAUGAGCAAGUUCAUAUUAAUUUCCCCAGCAUUUUGACUAUAAAUGCUCUGGGCACUUAAUAAAUUAAGUUACCAUUUGUUUGGUUACUGUUUGGUUAUUUAAGAACUUAAUAACAAACAUACGUAGUGACCUGAACUUGAAUUACAGAAUUCCUCAUUUGCAGUUCAGAUAUCGAGAUAGAAUAGCUCAGCUUCACUUCACAGCCCUCUAGCCUGGCGCCCAAAUGGACACAUAAGCAAUUGAGAUCAUUCAAAUGGAGAUACCCCCAGGGUGCCAUACGCAUUUAGAGAGAACAAUUGAGAAAUAAGAGGAAUAUUUAAUACAGGAGAAAAAUGUCCCUUAGGCAAAGAUUUCACUAGGCGCUAGAGACUUGUGGGAUAGUCCCUUUCCUGCACAAAUGACACGAUUCAGUCUUCAGCUCCCUGUUGUGCAAGCAGCCCUAGAAGCAUUUCUAAACCUGCCCUAUGUCCUGCAUGCAAGAUGCUGUAAUUACACAGAUAACUUUCCUUGUCUUUCGCUAAAACACUAGUAAGCAUUUAUACAACAUCCCUCACUGAAGACAAUCAUGACACAUCCAGAGGUAGGCAACACCACCUCUCUUUCCUGCAUGAAAAGAGCUGGAUUAGGAGUUACCUUUAGAGGUUUUUAUCCUGAAUUCAAAAUAUUAAGGCCACCUUUUCAUUCCUAAUGCAAACAAAGAGGUCUGCAUGUACUUAAAUCUCAGCUGUUUGUCCAAGCGCCUUAAGGCAGCUGAGGACUUGGUCUUUGACUUCAUCUCAAACCCCAAGACAAGGGAAAAAUCAGGUGUGUUUUCCGUUCCCACUGACAUGUCAGAUAAAUUAAAAACGCGAUGGAUUUUCAUAUCAGGCUGUUGAGGACUAAUUACAACAGUGCUUUCCAGCAAACCAGUGAUUGUAGGCUAAUUUUCUGUUAUGAAACAGAAACCAGGGUUAAUGAGGCUAAUUGUGUUUACCAGUGUUUCGAACAAAAAGGAAGCCAACUCAAUUUUGAAGCGAGUUCUUUGUCAGGAACAAAUUGAGGAAAAUUGCUACAGUUGUAUCAGCAUUUCCUAAAAUUGCUUAGUACCAUGCUUGGGAAACUAACACUAUAGAACACGAGCUAGUGGUACAGAAAAUGAAGCUUAUUAGACAGUAACUGCACUAAGUUUCAAAUGCAUGGCUGUGUGACAUGCAGUGAUGGUCGAGAUGUUGAAAGCAAUGCAAUAGGGAGUCAUUAAUAAAGCGAGUGAUCCCCAUUCCAGCUAUAUUGAGGUACUACCAAGAGAAAAAAUUAGGAAAUCAAGGUAUGUAGCAAUACCUGUCAGACAAACAAAAGCUUCAAGUUCUGUGUCUCAUCCAUGACUGAUUAAUUAAUUACGCAAGCUGGACUGGUGAAAAAUGAACACAUGACUGCAAAUCAAAAUUCACAAGCAGUUAAAAGUCCUUCAGAAACAAAAAAAGUCAAGUUUAGGCUCUCUUGCUACAGGCUGGUAAUUCUAAUAAUUACUCGGGAGAGCUGAGUGACUUCAGUGACAAAACACAUGAGCAAUAUCUGCAGCGUAGUACAAGCAGCUGCUGCUGGGGAAGCUCAUCCCUGCCAAAUAUUAAUACACCUCAGCAUUAGUGCCCCUGCUAUUCCCUUCCCAGCCGCUGUUGAAUCCGCAGCCAGGCCAAACAGCGGUGCUUUGGUUUUGCGAUGUAACCAACUGGAACUAAAAUGCAGCCACAUUCAUUUGCACUCCAGACUGGUGCCCAAAUCAAGCCGGCGUGUGCUAGGAGGACUAUGAAGGCUUUCAGCUGCAAAACACAGAGGCGCAAUGGCUGCGGUUUGACCUUACUGCAAGAUCCAGGCUGUCUUUCCCUUCUGUGUGCCCAAGGCAGAAGCAUCCUGGGAUUUGCACGAGGGCCUUACUCUGCUGCACGGGAGAGCUUAUGCGAGAGAGAUCUAAAGAAAAUAUACAUCCAUACGUAGGACUGUCCAAAGAGGAACUCCUUAGGAGGACUGUGAGUAAGAAAAAAGUGAUAGCAUGCCAGACUGCAAAGACAGCAAGCAAGAAAACAGACAAGUGGAAGAGGUCCUGUGGGGAAAACUGUGGAGCUGAGGAAGGAAAGGAAUUAAUGUGGUAAUACAUCAACAUAAGAGCGAAUAAAAAACACAUGGAAGAAAUGGGGAAUCUAAAGAUUAAGCAAAAAUAGGGAGACAUACUGGUUAAAAAUGGCAACAAAAGUGUGCAUAACGUUAAGGUCAGUAAAGGUCACCAAGUCCUCAGCCUACAUUUCCUAUCAGAAAACCAGUUCUGGGAGAAGGAGGGUGAGGGAAAGCAAAGAGUCUCAAGACAGGAGUGGGGAGCACCUGGCUGAGUUCUCAACUUUUAUAGCGAAAAGCCCAUUUGAUGUCUUUCAGUUUAAAGUUACAGCCAGAGGCUAUCCAGCUCCAGCGGCUCUGCUGAUCUGGGGCCCUUUGCAGGCUGUAUUCACUGGAAUCGAAGCUUCCCUUUAGAAAAAUGAUGUCUGUGGCCCUUCUGGUCUGCCAAGAUACAGCCUUCGCUACGUAAAUCAAUGCUCUGCUGUCUUGUUGAAUCUACAGCCUGAGGUAUGAACAUCUCCAAUUCAUCUUAAUGGGAUGUUAACCUCAAAGCCUCAUUGUGACUCUCCGAAUGCUAAUACUGUAUUAAACAAGUUGUUUAACACACAAAUGCUGGGUUUAAGUCACUCACAUAUGUACAGAAAAAUAGCUUGAACAACACAAAUACCUGAAUUUCCAGUCACACACUGGUCACCCCUGCAAAUCAGUUUUAUUUUGGUUUAGAGAUGCAGGCGGGGCUUAGGUUUGAAUGAACACUGGUUUUCCCUAUUUAUCAUCUCCAGGUAGUGAUUCUUGUGUUUGCUUUCAGAAUUUCUAUUCC